CCUACGGGAGGCAGCAGUGAGGAAUAUUGGUCAAUGGACGAGAGUCUGAACCAGCCAAGUAGCGUGAAGGAUGACUGCCCUAUGGGUUGUAAACUUCUUUUAUAUGGGAAUAAAACAGGGUAUGCAUACCCUCUUGUAUGUACCAUAUGAAUAAGGAUCGGCUAACUCCGUGCCAGCAGCCGCGGUAAUACGGAGGAUCCGAGCGUUAUCCGGAUUUAUUGGGUUUAAAGGGAGCGUAGGUGGAUUGUUAAGUCAGUUGUGAAAGUUUGCGGCUCAACCGUAAAAUUGCAGUUGAAACUGGCAGUCUUGAGUACAGUAGAGGUGGGCGGAAGUCGUGGUGUAGCGGUGAAAUGCUUAGAUAUCACGAAGAACUCCGAUUGCGAAGGCAGCUCACUGGACUGCAACUGACACUGAUGCUCGAAAGUGUGGGUAUCGAACAGGAUUAGAUACCCCAGUAGUC
rnacentral:rRNA from 1 species